GCCGGGCAGCUUCCGGGAAACCAAAGCCUUUGGGUUCCGGGGGAAGUAUGGUUGCAAAGCUAAAACUUAAAGGAAUUGACGGAAGGUCACACAAGGAAUGGAGCUUGCGGCUUAAUUUGACUCAACGCGGGGUAGCCUACCCAGCCAGGGCACAGGAAGGAUUGACAGAUUAAGAGCUCUUUCUUGAUUCUGUGGGUAGUGGUGCAUGUCCGUUCUUCGUUGGUGGAGCGAUUUGUCUGGUUAAUUCCGAUAACGAACGAGAUUCUAGCCUGCUAAAUAGGCGUUCCCGGUCCUUCGGGGGCCGGGCGCUCUUCUUAGAGGGAUCGGCGGCGCUCAGCCGCACGAAACAGAGCAAUAACAGGUCUUGAAUGCCCUUAGAUGCCUGGGGCUGCACGCGUGCUACAUUGAAGGAACCAGCGUGUGCUCUCCCUGUCCGGCAGGACUGGGUAACCCGCUGAACCUCCUUCGUGCUGGGGAUAGGAGUUUGUAACUGUCCUCCUUGAACGAGGAAUUCCUAGUAAGCGCGAGUCAUAACCUCGCGUUGAUUAGGUCCCUGGCCUUUGUACACACCGCCCGUCGCUACCCCCGAUGGAAUGAUUUAGUGAGGUCUUCGGACUGGCGCUCGGAGGGG
rnacentral:rRNA from 1 species